UUUAGUUUCCUUGUCAUUUUUCACACACACAAAAAAAAGUCUCGUUUCAAAGUUCAAACCCUGGUUUUGAAAUCGCAACGAUCCAUGUAUUAAAAAAACUUGCAGCUGUUUUGAGUGAGAGAGGGACCAGAAAUCACUGAGGCUUCACUAGCACCGGCAGGAACGGCGGGAGUAGUUAAAGUAACAGUGAAGAUGGAUGAUGGUGGUGGGAUGCGUAACAAGCAUUCGAAGAAGAGAGGAGGAGGAGAAACCAUGGAGGCUUCACUAGUAGGAAAAGUAACACUGAAGAUGGAUGGUGGUAGUGGUGGUGAGAUCUGUAACAACGCUGAUUUGAAGAAGAAGAGGAAGAAGAAGAAAGAAUAAUACUGAUGGUCCAGAAGCGAUGCUGUAUCUGAGGAGAUGUGUAACAAAUAACAACACGAAAUUGAAGAAAAUAAAUAGUAGUGAAGUGACACAAGAAACACCUUUCUUCUACAUUCCUCCUGGUCCUGAAACAACUUUUCCUGGAAGUAGUGCAGUAACACAAGAAACAUCUCUCAUCUUCAUCCCUCCUGGUCCUGUAGUUGUAACAAGACUAUGUGGUUGGUUGAUAUUUGCAGAAACAACUUUUCCUGGAAGUAGUGAAGUAACACAAGAAACAUCUCUCAUCUUCAUCCCUCUUGGUCUUGAAAAACUUCCCCUGGAAGUAGUAAAGAGACACAAGAAAUAUAUCUCUUCUUCAUGCCUCCUGGUUCUGAAACAAUGUGGACAUUGCGAAAAGUCAAUGGUGAUUACGUGUCUCGCCGUCCUGAAGGAAAUUUUCUUAUUACCUUUUCAUGGGAUUAUCAGAUUUGCUUUUGGGAAAUAAAGAAACCAGAAAUAAGUACUGGGAAUGUGCCAGAAGAAGCAACUAUUUGUUGCCAACCAACAUCGGAUUCCGCUUGCACCAUUGAUGCAACUACCAUUUUCUCUGGUGGUAAAGUUAUGCUAUGGGUACUAAUGUCAGGAUGUCAGCCUGUGCUGGGUGGAGCCGUUAAUGAAGCUGCAUGGCUACCUGGGAUGUAGGGCUGUUCAUGGUCGGUUUUGGUUCGGUUUCUAGCCAAACCAAAACCGAAGCCAAUAUUAUUGGUUUCUAAAAAUCUAAACCAAACCAAUCCAUUAACCAU